GUUGGCGUAAUCUCGAAGGCAGACUAAAUCGCAGUACGGAGCGGUCGUAAAGCUAGUUUUAUUUUCCACGUAAUUUAGUCUGCUCUUGCAGAGGAGGGAGGCUGCACAAACCUGCCUUGAUGUCAACUUCUCCAAGCAGUGAAUGCUGACUUCCAACCCUUAAUGGUAAUUGGAGAAAUAGGAUACGUAAGUUAGGUGGGUCCUACAUUCUUAACAAUCGGAACUCGUGAUUACCGGGAAUAUUUUUUCACUCUGGUUCUAGAAAGGGGAUGAUAGACAAUCUUUAUAGUCGGAUGACUAUCGCUGUAAACCAGGGUUUGCCGGAGUGUCUACGUAAUGGCCUUUUACUAUCCCGAGUGUCUCAAGUGCACGAGCACUGACUCUGAACUCACUCUCAGUUCAGGAUACAAGAAAAUAGCGAUAGUCGAUGCGUGCAAGACUCCAGCACGCAUGAGCUCACGGUAAUGCAAUAAGCUCGUGCAUAAGUAGCCAGUAGUACCAUGAGCCUUCGUCACGCACGCUGAGAAUUGAAAGGACGACCUUAGCCGUGCUGCCUUGAAAUAAGUAUUGAAAAGAAGAGCAAGAAUUUACAAAAGUUUUUUCAAAGAGAUAUUAAAAAAAGAAAAUAUUUGUACCAUCGAGUUAUUAGUCCCACAUCAAUCAUUACGUUUGUAUGUCUAACUGAAAAUAUUCAAACUCACCGAGGGCGUCAAUUUCGCUAUGGAAUUUAAUAUCCCACUUGAGUUUCCCAAUGACGCCGCGCGGCGCUGUUGUCGCUUCAUCGAAAAAUAUUUGUAUCGAUAUAUUCGCGUGCGAUUAUACCCAGGAUUCGAGAAUGCGAAAAAUCUCGAAACUUCGUUACAACGUUCACGUUCAGCGAUUUCCUCCUCAGGAAGUUAAGGACAUGGAGUCUAUGAGUUUCUUCGUUACGGAAUCCCCUUUAGUAAUCAAACCUAUCAGAAUCAGGAUGACUAAUGGAAUAGAAUAUUGUCAAAGGGGAUGCCAGUUUGAAGUUGGUUACUUCUGGUGUGAUGGGUGCUGUGUGCACGCUCAACCGUGAUUCCGCAAACAUCAAUGGCUCCGUUUACUCGUGCAGAUUCUUACCCAGUGUAUAAGCACUGUGAAUUACAUUGCAACGUAUGGAUGAGAAAUAAAGUGAAAAAUAAAAAUACCAUCAACGCAUCGAGUAUGCAUCAAUAAAUAAUCCAACCCUCGAGCUUGUAGCAAUAUUGGAAAACACAAGAGCAUACCCUACAGCUGCGCUUCGACGGAAUUAUUAGAAUUUACAAAAAAUAAUCUACGUCCGACAAUAGCCGACCAAGUAAAUUCCCAAGCAUCGCGAGACGUUCUAUAACCAUUUCCCUAUAAUAUAAUAAAGUAGCAAAAAACUCAUCGAUUAAAAAUCCAUAAACCAUUUGGUACAAAUAUAAUCCCCAUAAUUAUGUGAAAAUCCCAGUAAAGUUAACUAUCAUUUCCAAAAAUAAAAUCCCUAUAAUUUUUUAAUCCCUCUAACAAAAAAUUAUCAUUAAUUAAAAUUCAUCAACCCCUCCAAUAAAUUCAAAUAUAAUCGUAGCUCUUUAACCAAAUUAAACCUUCUGCCGGAUAAUCCAAAGUUAAAAAUAUACAAAAUAUAAUUAGCAGUAUAAAUUAAUAACGUUAACGAUUACCACUAAUUGAUAAAAAACAUAUCGGAUAUAGGUAUAGAGUCCCAUACAACGGACGCUAAUAGAAAACACCGUUAAACAAUCGGUUUAUCGAUCUUCGAUUUUAUACCAUUUUGAUAAAUCGUAUAAUCAAUAAAUAAGAAGCUACCAACCAUACACCGAUUAACGUACCGUUCACAAUAGAAAGUGCUCGUUACGAUACUCAUUGUUCUUGCCAGAUCAAGAGAAUGUGUUGCUAGUUUAAUUAGGAGCACUUUCACACUACGGAAACCAGUAGAGCAACCUAUUAAAAAAAAAUUGUUAAAAUUUGCUUAAGCACGCAUUACGUGCAAUCUUCCCACAAUUAUAAGUUUUCUCAAUACCGUAUCCACAUACCAGAUAACCCAUAAAAUGAUAAGACCAAUGCCCACGUCAAUGAUGAAAUACAAAAUUUGCCAAUACAUUAUAAGACAAUUUACUCAAAAACCCCCAAUUUUUGUAAAAAUUUUGAAUAUUCAUUAAAAAUAAUAAAACCCUUAGGGAAUUGCAUGGUAAAAUAAAAACACCCAAUCGUUACUAACGACGACUCUCGACGGUCGCACGAGAGAAAAUCCAUUAACGCAAAGCGACGCCGUAACAGCCUCCCUAUUCCCAUUUUAACAUUGGAAAGCGUCGCGACGCCACUUUUACUUGUUAUAACCAACCAAAUAAAUGAUCGUAAACCUACCAACGAUAAAUUUUAUAUACAGUGAUUAUUUAGGUAAUUAAUAAAAUUUGUUGGUACAGUCAUCAAGUAAUCGAGAUGGCCUCAAGCAGGUAGAGCAAAGUUUAAUUGACUUAAUUUAAUUAAUGAGGAAUGACAGCGUUCCUGUGUUACGUCAUGGAUCCUCUUUAUUAUAAUUGAUGAUUAUUAUCAUCUGAAUAACCAUCAGGGCGUUUGACUGUCUUUAUAAAAUCAUUGAC